rnacentral:rRNA from 1 species
UUAAAUUGAAGAGUUUGAUCAUGGCUCAGAUUGAACGCUGGCGGCAGGCCUAACACAUGCAAGUCGAACGGUAACAGGAAACAGCUUGCUGUUUCGCUGACGAGUGGCGGACGGGUGAGUAAUGUCUGGGAAACUGCCUGAUGGAGGGGGAUAACUACUGGAAACGGUAGCUAAUACCGCAUAAUGUCGCAAGACUAAAGAGGGGGACCUUCGGGCCUCUUGCCAUC